rnacentral:rRNA from 1 species
GAUGAACGCUGGCGGCGUGCCUAAUACAUGCAAGUCGAGCGUACGGACGAGAAGCUUGCUUCUCUGAUGUUAGCGGCGGACGGGUGAGUAACACGUGGAUAACCUACCUAUAAGACUGGGAUAACUUCGGGAAACCGUGGCUAAUACCGGAUAAUAUUUUGAACCGCAUGGUUCAAAAGUGAAAGACGGUCUUGCUGUCACUUAUAGAUGGAUCCGCGCUGCAUUAGCUAGUUGGUAAGGUAACGGCUUACCAAGGCAACGAUGCAUAGCCGACCUGAGAGGGUGAUCGGCCACACUGGAACUGAGACACGGUCCAGACUCCUACGGGAGGCAGCAGUAGGGAAUCUUCCGCAAUGGGCGAAAGCCUGACGGAGCAACGCCGCGUGAGUGAUGAAGGUCUUCGGAUCGUAAAACUCUGUUAUUAGGGAAGAACAUAUGUGUAAGUAACUGUGCACAUCUUGACGGUACCUAAUCAGAAAGCCACGGCUAACUACGUG